ACGGAGGGUGCAAGCGUUGCUCGGAAUUACUGGGCGUAAAGGGCGUGUAGGCGGUUUCGUAUGUCUGGCGUGAAAGCCCCGGGCUCACCUCGGGAAGUGCGUUGGAAACUGCGAGACUAGAGUCCCGGAGAGGGAGGUGGAAUUCCAGGUGUAGCGGUGAAAUGCGUAGAUAUCUGGAAGAGCACCGGUGGCGAAGGCGGCCUCCUGGACAGUAACUGACGCUGAGGCGCGAAAGCGUGGGUAGCAAACAGGA
rnacentral:rRNA from 1 species